rnacentral:rRNA from 1 species
CACGUAGGGCGCAAGCGUUGUCCGGAAUUAUUGGGCGUAAAGAGCUCGUAGGCGGUCUGUUACGUCUGCUGUGAAAACCCGGGGCUUAACCCUGGGCUUGCAGUGGAUACGGGCAGACUAGAGGCAGGUAGGGGAGAAUGGAAUUCCCGGUGUAGCGGUGAAAUGCGCAGAUAUCGGGAGGAACACCGGUGGCGAAGGCGGUUCUCUGGGCCUGACCUGACGCUGAGGCGCGAAAGCUAGGGGAGCGAACGGG